rnacentral:rRNA from 1 species
CGAGCGGGCGUAGCAAUACGUCAGCGGCAGACGGGUGAGUAACGCGUGGGAACGUACCUUUUGGUUCGGAACAACACAGGGAAACUUGUGCUAAUACCGGAUAAGCCCUUACGGGGAAAGAUUUAUCGCCGAAAGAUCGGCCCGCGUCUGAUUAGCUAGUUGGUGAGGUAAUGGCUCACCAAGGCGACGAUACAUAGCCGACCUGAGAGGGUGAUCGGCCACACUGGGACUGAGACACGGCCCAGACUCC